rnacentral:rRNA from 1 species
CCAUGAAGCUGGAUUCGCUAGUAAUCGCGCAUCAGCCAUGGCGCGGUGAAUACGUUCCCGGGCCUUGUACACACCGCCCGUCAAGCCAUGGAAGCCGGGAGUGCCUGAAGUGCGUGAGCGUAAGCAGCGCCCUAAGGUAAAACCGGUGACUGGGGCUAAGUCGUAACAAGGUAUC